ACUCAAAUGAAUUGACGGGUCCCCGCACAAGCAGCGGAGCGUGUGGUUUAAUUCGAUGAUACACGAAGAACCUUACCAGGGUUUGACAUGUGGGUGGUAGGGAUCCGAAAGGUGACCGACUCUUCGGAGAGCCUUCACAGGUGUUGCAUGGCUGUCGUCAGCUCGUGUCGUGAGACGUUCGGUUAAGUCCGCUAACGAGCGCAACCCUCGUCGUGUGUUACAAGUGUCACGCGAGACCGCCGGUGUCAAGCCGGAGGAAGGUGAGGAUGACGUCAAGUCAGCAUGACCUUUAUAUCCUGGGCUACACACACGCUACAAUGGCCGGCACAAUUGGUCGCGAAACCGCGAGGUGGAGCCAAUCCGUUAAAGUCGGCCUCAGUUCAGAUUGUAGGCUGCAACUCGCCUGCAUGAAGAUGGAGUUGCUAGUAAACGCAGGUCAGCACUACUGCGUUGAAUACGUUCCCGGGGAUUGCACACACCGCCCGU
rnacentral:rRNA from 1 species